AGGGAACGUGGGGAAGUGAAACAUCUCAGUACCCACAGGAAGAGAAAACAAAAGUGAUUCCGUUAGUAGUGGCGAGCGAACGCGGAUUAGCCCAAACCAAUAUUGUUACGGCAAUAUUGGGGUUGUAGGACCACAAUAUUCAAUGCUAAGUAAAUUAGAACUGUUUGGAAAGACAGACCAAAGAGGGUGAUAGUCCCGUAAAAGUAAGCGAAGUUAUUGAUAGUGGUAUCCUGAGUAGUGCGGGGCACGUGAAACCCUGUAUGAAUCCGGCGGGACCAUCCGCCAAGACUAAAUACUCCUGAGAGACCGAUAGUGAACUAGUACCGUGAGGGAAAGAUGAAAAGUACCCCGAUGAGGGGAGUGAAACAGUACCUGAAACCGGACGCCUACAAUCAGUCGGAGGCUCCUCGAGAGCUGACGGCGUACCUUUUGUAUAAUGGGUCAUCGACUUGGUCUAUCUAGCAAGCUUAAGCCGUUAGGUGUAGGCGCAGCGAAAGCGAGUCUUAAUAGGGCGCAUGAGUUAGGUGGAUCAGACCCGAAACCGAGUGAUCUAGGCAUGGCCAGGUUGAAGGUUGGGUAACACCAACUGGAGGACCGAACCCACAUCCGUUGAAAAGGAUCGGGAUGAGCUGUGCCUAG
rnacentral:rRNA from 1 species